AUAUUACCAUGGCUCCUUCAAAACUGGCUGCAGACAGACCAAUGAUAGUGCUUGUUGUUUCCCCACUGAAUGCAUUAAUGCAGGAUAAAGUAAUUUCACUCUGCGAGAGGGAUGUUGCUGCAUGCUUCAGCAGUAUCGAUGCUGCAUAUGUGACUUCUUGUGAAGAUGUAUUGGAAAACGAAUAAGAAGAAUAUUUAGAUGAAGAAACUGAACUGAAAACGAAGACAAGUGCUUAUGGAAUCAAUUAAAGAUGGAAAUUUCAACAUAAUUUAUAUGCACCCAGAGACAGCUUUUGCAAGAGAGACAGUCAAACUUUUGAAGAGCCCUGCCUUCAAGAGUCGCAUAUGCUGGAUGUUGAAAUGCGCCCAUACAUUCAAAACAAUUCCACAUGCUUGCGCUUACAUUUGGUAAAUCGUUUUGGCUAAGCAGUGUCUUGUUUUCAGUGAACCAAUAUAGUUGUUGUAGUAAUUGUAUGGCUGGUUAAAUGACUGAGAGAUGCCAAUUUGAACCAUUUUAACUCUGAACCAUGAAAGAAUUUAAUCACAACAAUGUUCAAAUUAUUUGCUUGUUUUUAUUCAAUAUUGCAUACAUUAUACAUGCAAGUUAAAGUAUAUUAUAAAAACAGGGACUAUACAAACAGGUAUGUAUAGGUCCCUGAUAGAAUUGGGCAACAUAUUUUAAUUAAGUACAUGCUAUGUACCUAUCCUUAAACAUAACACAGUUGCUUAAACUUUCACAUUUGAUCAAUCCAAAAAUCAAUUUACUUGAAAUUGAAUAAGAAAUACCAGAUGUUUCCUGGUAAAGUUUUGUGAAAAUAGUCUGAAAAGAUGUAUUUUAAUGCGAAAGACAAUGUCAUAUUUACUGGAGUAUUUAAUUACUAUGAAAAAAAACACAUUUUUUCACCUAAAUCCCAUUUUAAUGGUUUUCUAGCAACUAGGUCAAUAACAAUGUGUUUAUAGUGUACCGGUAUUCUGAAUGUUUAUGUUGGGUACUCAUCAGUUCUGAUUAUGAUGACUUCCUUAAUGCAUACAUAUAUGUUACACUAGUCCAACUAAUCUAGGUCAAAAGUUGACACUAUUAUUCAAUUUUGCAACUAUCAAUAUCGGUCCUUCUUUAUCCAUAGCAAGUAGUCACUAAAUGCCUGGUAAAAACAUGAUAUUUAUGUUUAAUAUCUUUUCAAUUUAUUGCAUAUUUAAAUAACACUAUUAUUACAAUAUAUGUAUGUUGAAAAUCGUUACAAUAACAAUAAACGGCUCUAUGCAACUGGA